GAUGAACGCUAGCGGGAGGCCUAACACAUGCAAGCCGAGCGGUAGAGUUUCUUCGGAAACUUGAGAGCGGCGAACGGGUGCGUAACACGUGUGCAACCUACCUUUAUCUGGGGGAUAGCCUUUCGAAAGGUAGAUUAAUACCCCAUAAUAUAAUGAUUGGCAUCAAUUAUUAUUGAAACCUCCGGUGGAUAGAGAUGGGCACGCGCAAGAUUAGAUAGUUGGUGAGGUAAGGGCUCACCAAGUCAAUGAUCUUUCGGGGUCCUGAGAGAGAGAUCCCCCACACUGGGACUGAGACACGGACCAGACUCGUACGGGAGGCAGCAGUGAUUAAGAUUGGACAAUGGGUGAGUGCCUGAUCCAGCCAGCCCGCGUGAAGGAUGACGGUCCUAUGGAUUGUAAACUUCUUUUGUACAGGGAUAAACCUACCCACGUAAGGGUAUCUGAAGGUACUGUACGAAUAAGCACCGGCUAACUCCGUG
rnacentral:rRNA from 1 species